UACCCAUGAUGAAGACACAUACUCAAUAACUCCUUAAAUCUCUCUCAAGACUGAUAGAAAGUCUUACUGUUGUUUUGUGCGAAGGUGGAGAUUUGCCUUUUUAAAGCA